rnacentral:rRNA from 1 species
UGGGGAAUAUUGCGCAAUGGGCGAAAGCCUGACGCAGCGACGCCGCGUGAGUGAUGAAGGCCUUCGGGUCGUAAAGCUCUGUCAAAGGGGACGAACUAACUCCUGAGAAUAAUACCUCAGGGGCCUGACGGUACCCUUAAAGGAAGCACCGGCUAACUCCGUGCCAGCAGCCGCGGUAAAACGGAGGGUGCAAGCGUUGUUCGGAAUCACUGGGCGUAAAACGCGCGUAGGCGGAAUGAGUAGUCGGGUGUGAAAUCCCUCGGCUUAACCGAGGAAUUGCGUCCGAAACCAUCAUUCUUGAGUUCCGGAGAGGAGCGGGGAAUUCCCAGUGUAGAGUUGAAAUUCGUAGAUAUUGGGAGGAACACCUGAGGCGAAGGCGCUGCUCUGGACGGAUACUGACGCUAAGGCGCGAAAGCGUGGGUAGCAAACAGG